GACGAACGCUGGCGGCGUGCCUAAUACAUGCAAGUCGAACGGACAGGUCCUGCUCUUGCGGGGCGCACGAGUGGCGAACGGGUGAGUAAAACGCGAGUAUCAUGCCCCUGAAUUUGGGAUAAAUUCAGGAAAAUGGGGCUCAUACAGGAUAGGAGCUCCUGCAGCACGGUGGGGGUUGGAAAGAUUCGGCGGUUGGGGAUGGACUCGCGGCUUAUCCGCUUGUUGGUGGGGUAGUGGCUUACCAAGGGUUCGACGGGUAGCCGGCCUGAGAGGGGGACCGGCGUCAUUGGGACUGAGAGACGGCGCAGACUCGUACGGGAGGCAGCAGUGGGGAAUAUUGCACAGUAGGCGGAAGUCUGAUGCGGCAGCGCCGCGUGCGUGAUGACGGCCUUCGAGUUAUGAACCGCUUUCUCCUGUGACGAGGCGUGAUUGACGGUAAUGGGUAAAGAAGCACCGGCUAACUACGUG
rnacentral:rRNA from 1 species